AUUAUGACGUGCUUGCACUGAAUGAGAUUUUAACACGAAGUGAGUGGCGGACGGGUGAGUAACACGUGGGUAACCUGCCCAGAAGCAGGGGAUAACACCUGGAAACAGAUGCUAAUACCGUAUAACAGAGAAAACCGCCUGGUUUUCUUUUAAAAGAUGGCUCUGCUAUCACUUCUGGAUGGACCCGCGGCGCAUUAGCUAGUUGGUGAGGUAACGGCUCACCAAGGCGAUGAUGCGUAGCCGACCUGAGAGGGUAAUCGGCCACAUUGGGACUGAGACACGGCCCAGACUCCUACGGGAGGCAGCAGUAGGGAAUCUUCCACAAUGGACGCAAGUCUGAUGGAGCAACGCCGCGUGAGUGAAGAAGGGUUUCGGCUCGUAAAGCUCUGUUGUUAAAGAAGAACGUGGGUGAGAGUAACUGUUCACCCAGUGACGGUAUUUAACCAGAAAGCCACGGCUAACUACGUGCCAGCAGCCGCGGUAAUACGUAGGUGGCAAGCGUUAUCCGGAUUUAUUGGGCGUAAAGCGAGCGCAGGCGGUCUUUUAAGUCUAAUGUGAAAGCCUUCGGCUCAACCGAAGAAGUGCAUUGGAAACUGGGAGACUUGAGUGCAGAAGAGGACAGUGGAACUCCAUGUGUAGCGGUGAAAUGCGUAGAUAUAUGGAAGAACACCAGUGGCGAAGGCGGCUGUCUGGUCUGUAACUGACGCUGAGGCUCGAAAGCAUGGGUAGCGAACAGGAUUAGAUACCCUGGUAGUCCAUGCCGUAAACGAUGAUUACUAAGUGUUGGGAGGGUCUCCGCCCUUCAGUGCUGCAGCUAACGCAUUAAGUAAUCCGCCUGGAGAGUACGACCGCGAGGUUGAAACUCAAAAGAAUUGACGGGGCGCCCGCACAAGCGGUGGA
rnacentral:rRNA from 1 species